rnacentral:rRNA from 1 species
AGAGUUUGAUCAUGGCUCAGGAUGAACGUUGGCGGCGUGCCUAAUACAUGCAAGUCGAACGGUAGGUAAGCACUUGUGCUUACUGAGAGUGGCGCACGGGUGAGUAACACGUAACUGAUCUGCCCUGUAGACUGGGAUAACCUUUGGAAACAGAGGCUAAUACCGGAUGAGCUCGUGAGGUUUAGAGAAUCACGAGGAAAAGCUGAGGUGCUAUAGGAUGAGGUUGCGAUUCAUCAACUAGUUGGUGGGGUAAAGGCUCACCAACGCGAUGACGGAUAGGGGAUCUGAGAGGGUGGCCCCCCACACUGGGACUGAAACACGCUCCAGACUCCUACCGGAGGCUGCAGUAAGGCCUACUGCACAUUGCACUGAACUCUGUUCCAUAAGACCCUGUUGGGGGAAGGAAGUUUUCGGAUCUUGGCUUCUUAUCUAUCUGACGAUAG